UACGUAGGGUGCGAGCGUUUGUCCGGAAUUAUUGGGCGUAAAGAGCUCGUAGGCGGUCUGUCGCGUCGAUCGUGAAAACUUGGGGCUUAACCCUGAGCUUGCGGUCGAUACGGGCAUGACUGGAGUUCGGCAGGGGAGACUGGAAUCCUGGUGUAGCGGUGAAAUGCGCAGAUAUCAGGAGGAACACCGGUGGCGAAGGCGGGUCUCUGGGCCGAUGACUGACGCUGAGGAGCGAAAGCGUGGGGAGCAAACAGG
rnacentral:rRNA from 1 species